UACGUAGGGCGCAAGCGUUAUCCGGAAUUAUUGGGCGUAAAGAGCUCGUAGGCGGUUUGUCGCGUCUGCUGUGAAAACUGGGGGCUCAACCCCAGCCUGCAGUGGGUACGGGCAGACUAGAGUGCGGUAGGGGAGAUUGGAAUUCCUGGUGUAGCGGUGGAAUGCGCAGAUAUCAGGAGGAACACCGAUGGCGAAGGCAGAUCUCUGGGCCGUAACUGACGCUGAGGAGCGAAAGCAUGGGGAGCGAACAGG
rnacentral:rRNA from 1 species